rnacentral:rRNA from 1 species
GUAGGUGGCAAGCGUUGUCCGGAAUUAUUGGGCGUAAAGCGCGCGCAGGCGGUUUUUUAAGUCUGAUGUGAAAGCCCACGGCUCAACCGUGGAGGGUCAUUGGAAACUGGAGAACUUGAGUACAGAAGAGGAAAGCGGAAUUCCACGUGUAGCGGUGAAAUGCGUAGAGAUGUGGAGGAACACCAGUGGCGAAGGCGGCUUUCUGGUCUGUAACUGACGCUGAGGCGCGAAAGCGUGGGGAGCAAACAGGGAUUAGAUACCCUGGUAGUCCACGCCGUAAACGAUGAGUGCUAAGUGUUAGGGGGUUUCCCGCCCCUUAGUGCUGCAGCUAACGCAUUGAGCACUCCGCCUGGGGAGUACGGCCGCAAGGCUG